rnacentral:misc_RNA from 1 species
GCCUAAGGUAGGACUGGUGACUGGGGUGAAGUCGUAACAAGGUAUCCCUACGAGAACGUGGGGAUGGAUCACCUCCUUUCUACGGAGUACAUCGCGUUAUGGAAAAAUUAUUUGUAUCCAGUUUUGAGAGAUUUAUCUCUCAUGUUCUUUGAAAACUGAAUAUCGACAUUGAAAAUAUUAAUUAAUAUUUCAAAGUUUAGAUCAACCUAUAGAAUACAAAAUAGACAACAAUAGGUCAUACAUAACAAUAAAUACUAUUAAACAAGAUAAGAGUUUUUGGUGGAUGCCUUGGGUCUGGAAGUCGAUGAAGGACGUGAUUACCUGCGAUAAGUCUCGGUUAGCUGGAAAUAAGCUGUGAUCCGGGA